UACCCCAACUGUUGGUUUCCCUGGUAACCGAAGAGCCAAUCUGACGUCAGUUCCUCCCUAUAAAUGAAAGCCUUCUCCUCCGAGUUAGCGAAGGUUGCUGUCACUUCUUGUCUGCCAUUUGCUUCACAAAGUGCGUGUUGCUCCAGGACUUCGCUUCUGAUGUGUAAGAUCCCUUAUCCAAUAAGCCACUGAUGUCUUUGUUGCUGGGCUUUUUCUUUGUUCUCAAGGUUUGCAGGCCUGAGGUGGAGGUACAUACCCAACAGGAAACAGUUUCAAUCUGAUAAUGUUUGAGGAAGUAAUUGCCAAUCAUCCUACACUCGGCAGUGGAGCUGGAAGAUGAAGAAAGGAUUGGAACACCGUGCGGUUGUCAUAGGGUAUCCUGUCGCCAUGGGCCCAGCUGACCAUCAACCAUCAUCAGCUGGGGGCUGGCAGGGUUCUGGUCUUUGCAUGGAGAACAGAGCCAUCCAACCGCAUAGACCACCCCACCUGCAUCCCCUUUGGAAUGUUUGUGCAUUUGAUAACAACCAUCUUCUUCCUGUUGAACUUAUAUGCUGGCAGGGAACUCAUAUGCUGCCUUUCUAGUAAAAAAAGGCGCUUGAUUCCUUAACUCUGUCUCCACCUCUUUUAUCUUAAUAUCUUCUCAGCAACUCAGACUGGACAGAAGCGGCUUAAGAGGGGAAUAUUUUAGAACACACAAAA